AGCAGUAGCCGCGGUAAUACGAAGGGUGCAAGCGUUAAUCGGAAUUACUGGGCGUAAAGCGUGCGUAGGCGGUGAGUUAAGUCUGCUGUGAAAUCCCCGGGCUCAACCUGGGAAUGGCAGUGGAUACUGGCUCGCUAGAGUGUGUCAGAGGAUGGUGGAAUUCCCGGUGUAGCGGUGAAAUGCGUAGAGGUCGGGAGGAACAUCAGUGGCGAAGGCGGCCAUCUGGGACAACACUGACGCUGAGGCACGAAAGCGUGGGGAGCAAACAGGAUUAGAUACCCCUGUAGUCCCUGUCUCUUAUAC
rnacentral:rRNA from 1 species